rnacentral:rRNA from 1 species
ACUCAAAGGAAUAGACGGGGGCCCGCACAAGCAGCGGAGCGUGUGGUUUAAUUCGAGGCUACGCGAAGAACCUUACCUGGGUUUGACAUGAUGGUGAAUGAAGGUGAAAGCCGGAAGUCCCUUCGGGGCACCACCACAGGUGCUGCAUGGCUGUCGUCAGCUCGUGUCGUGAGAUGUUCGGUUAAGUCCGAAAACGAGCGCAACCCCUAGUUUCAGUUACACGUGUCUGGAACCACUGCCUGCGGUAAGCAGGAGGAAGGUGGGGAUGAUGUCAAGUCAGCAUGGCCUUUAUAUCCAGGGCUACACACACGCUACAAUGGCGCGUACAGUGGGUUGCGAAACCGCGAGGUGGAGCCAAUCCUAAAAAGCGCGUCGUAGUUCGGAUUGUAGGCUGCAACUCGCCUGCAUGAAGCCGGAGUUGCUAGUAACCGCAGGUCAGCACACUGCGGUGAAUACGUUCCCGGGCCUUGUACACACCGCCCGU